rnacentral:rRNA from 1 species
GGCCGCGGGAAUUCGAUUCAGGCCUAACACAUGCAAGUCGAGCGCCCCUCCUUCAAGCAAGCUUGAAGGAUUUAAUCCUUGAAAAAGAAGAUCAAGAAAUUGCUUCAGCAUGAAGCUUUCUUGAUGGAGGGGAGCGGCAGACGGGUGAGUAACGCGUGGGAAUCUACCGAGCCCUAAGGAAUAACUCCGGGAAACUGGAACUAAUACCUUAUACGCCCUACGGGGGAAAGAUUUAUCGGGGUUUGAUGAGCCCGCGUUGGAUUAGCUAGUUGGUGGGGUAAAGGCCUACCAAGGCGACGAUCCAUAGCUGGUCUGAGAGGAUGAUCAGCCACAUUGGGACUGAGACACGGCCCAAACUCCUACGGGAGGCAGCAGUGGGGAAUAUUGGACGAUGGGCGCAAGCCUGAUCCAGCCAUGCCGCGUGAGUAAAGGAGGUCUUAGGAUUGUAAAGCUCUUUCACCGAUGAAGAUAAUGACGGU